rnacentral:rRNA from 1 species
UUGAACUGAAGAGUUUGAUCCUGGCUCAGAUUG